rnacentral:rRNA from 1 species
CUACGGAGGGUGCAAGCGUUACUCGGAAUCACUGGGCGUAAAGCGCGCGCAGGCGGCUUGAUAAGUUGGAUGUGAAAGCCUACGGCUCAACCGUAGAACUGCUUCCAAAACUGUCAGGCUAGAGUGUGGGAGAGGAAGAUGGAAUUAGUUGUGUAGGGGUAAAAUCCGUAGAGAUAACUAGGAAUACCAAAAGCGAAGGCAAUCUUCUGGAACACUACUGACGCUGAGGCGCGAAGGCGUGGGGAGCAAACAGGAUUAGAUACCCCUGUAGUCC